ACGGGAGGCAGCAGUGGGGAAUAUUGGACAAUGGGGGGAACCCUGAUCCAGCCAUGCCGCGUGUGUGAAGAAGGCCUUUUGGUUGUAAAGCACUUUAAGCAGUGAAGAAGACUCUUCGGUUAAUACCCGGGGACGAUGACAUUAGCUGCAGAAUAAGCACCGGCUAACUCUGUGCCAGCAGCCGCGGUAAUACAGAGGGUGCAAGCGUUAAUCGGAAUUACUGGGCGUAAAGCGAGCGUAGGUGGCUUGAUAAGUCAGAUGUGAAAUCCCCGGGCUUAACCUGGGAACUGCAUCUGAAACUGUUAGGCUAGAGUAGGUGAGAGGGAAGUAGAAUUUCAGGUGUAGCGGUGAAAUGCGUAGAGAUCUGAAGGAAUACCGAUGGCGAAGGCAGCUUCCUGGCAUCAUACUGACACUGAGGCUCGAAAGCGUGGGUAGCAAACAGGAUUAGAUACCCUGGUAGUCCACGCCGUAAACGAUGUCUACUAGUCGUUGGGUCCCUUGAGGACUUAGUGACGCAGCUAACGCAAUAAGUAGACCGCCUGGGGAGUACGGCCGCAAGGUUAAAACUCAAAUGAAUUGACGG
rnacentral:rRNA from 1 species